AUUGAACGCUGGCGGCAUGCUUUACACAUGCAAGUCGAACGGUAACAGGCCUUCGGGUGCUGACGAGUGGCGAACGGGUGAGUAAUGCAUCGGAACGUACCCCAGAGGUGGGGGAUAACGCAGCGAAAGCUGUGCUAAUACCGCAUGUGAUCUGAGGAUGAAAGCGGGGGACCGAGCAGCAAUGUUUGGCCUCGCGCCUUUGGAGCGGCCGAUGUCGGAUUAGCUAGUUGGUGGGGUAAAGGCCUACCAAGGCGACGAUCCGUAGCUGGUCUGAGAGGACGACCAGCCACACUGGGACUGAGACACGGCCCAGACUCCUACGGGAGGCAGCAGUGGGGAAUUUUGGACAAAGGGCGCAAGCCUGAUCCAGCAAUGCCGCGUGCGGGAAGAAGGCCUUCGGGUUGUAAACCGCUUUUGGCAGGAACGAAACGGUGUCCGCUAAUACCGGGCGCUAAUGACGGUACCUGCAGAAUAAGCACCGGCUAACUACGUG
rnacentral:rRNA from 1 species